CCUACGGGUGGCAGCAGUGAGGAAUAUUGCACAAUGGGGGAACCCCUGAUGCAGCGACGCCGCGUGAGUGAAGACGUCUUUCUGUAUUUAAAGCUCUAUCAGCCGGGAAGAAACUGACGGUACCUGUUUCAGAAGCCCCGGCUAACUACGUGCCAGCAGCCGCGAUGAUAAGGCGGGGGCCAGCGGUAUCCGGAUUUACUGGGUGUAAAGGGAGCGUAGAAGGGAUCGCAAGUCUGAAGGGAAAUGCCGGGGCUUAACCCCCGAACUGCCUUGGAAACUGUGCAGCUAGAGUGCAGGAGAGGUAAGCGGAAUGCGUAGUGUAGCGGUGAAAUGCGUAGAUAUUAGGAGGAACACCAGUGGCGAAGGCGGCAUACUGGACUGCAACUGACGUUGAGGCUCGAAAGCGUGGGGAGCAAACAGGAUUAGAUACCCCAGUAGUC
rnacentral:rRNA from 1 species